AGCAGCACAAAGGACAGUGAACAAGAUCAUGUUGUCCGUGUUGUCAAGAUGCCAAUUUCAGGAAAAACAACUGUCCGGAUUUUAGGGAGAAAACUACUUCCUCAAGGAACCUGGAGUAAGAAGUCCCGCCGCCUGUUUUUUGUUAUUGCAAAAAUCCUCAACCCUCUGAAGACAGUUGUUUUGCUUCAUUCUCUGUUCAUGACUAUGACCUUUUAUAAGACUUUGUCAUCUAUUUCAUGCCCUUACCACAGAUAUGGAUGAAAAUCUAGUCUGUUACUAUUAGCAGGAUGAAUGGAAUUGUUCUUCAGUUGUAUCCAAGCACCUCUAUUCUAGAUCAAAUUGCUUCAUGGUCAG